rnacentral:snRNA from 1 species
GUCCCCUCGGGGACAUCCGAUAAAAUUGGAACGAUAUAGAGAAGAUUAGUAUGGCCCUUGCGCAAGGAUGAUGACACGCACAAAUCGAGAAAUGGUCCAAAUUUUU